UCUGCAGGCCGGCCUGUCGCGUCUCGUCGUUUACGGCGUGAUGAGGAAAGUCCGGAUAACACAGAGUACCGCACCACCUAACGGGUGGCUGUACGGCAACGUGCAAGAGAAAGUGCCACAGAAAAUAACUGCCCCGGUUUGUCCGGGGUCAAGGUGAAAACGUGGGGUAAGAGCCCACGAUGCAUGCUGGUAACAGCGUGCAUGGGUAAACCUUGCGGGUUACAAUGCCAAAUAAGCCGGAGUAUCCUUCGCGGAGAGAAGGCUGCUCGUCUGAACCUCCGGCGGGUAGGCAGCAAGAGCAUGCAUGUGAAUGUAUGCCCAGAUAAAUGACAGGACUCAAACAGAAUCCGGCUUAUGAGCCUGCAGAUCUU
rnacentral:RNase_P_RNA from 1 species